AGUGAACGCUGGCGGUAGGCCUAACACAUGCAAGUCGAACGGCAGCACAGUAAGAGCUUGCUCUUACGGGUGGCGAGUGGCGGACGGGUGAGGAAUACAUCGGAAUCUACUUUUUCGUGGGGGAUAACGUAGGGAAACUUACGCUAAUACCGCCUACGACCUACGGGUGAAAGCAGGGGAUCUUCGGACCUUGCGCGAUUGAAUGAGCCGAUGUCGGAUUAGCUAGUUGGCGGGGUAAAGGCCCACCAAGGCGACGAUCCGUAGCUGGUCUGAGAGGAUGAUCAGCCACACUGGAACUGAGACACGGUACAGACUCCUACGGGAGGCAGCAGUGGGGAAUAUUGGACAAUGGGCGCAAGCCUGAUCCAGCCAUACCGCGUGGGUGAAGAAGGCCUUCGGGUUGUAAAGCCCUUUUGUUGGGAAAGAAAAGCAGCAGGUUAAUACCCCGCUGUUCUGACGGUACCCAAAGAAUAAGCACCGGCUAACUUCGUG
rnacentral:rRNA from 1 species